UUCGUCAGCUGGACUCUCGCCCUUUCUUCCUGUCGAAAUUGCUUGGUCCCUGGCCCAACGCAGCCCAGCAACGCUCUGCGCUCAAAGCUCUUCUGGACACCAUCGGACUUCGAUCGUUAUUGUGAAGGGGCUCGUUAUUUUAUUCCCCAUUCCAACCAGCAAUGGGGUAGAGUAUCGCCUGUGGCGAUGAAACUCCCCACUCUCCAAGGUCGAAAAUAAAGUUGCUGUUGUUGUUGUUUGCUACUAUGCAGGUGCGCUUGUGGGAGCUGCACGCGCAUGCCGACGGCGCGAGAAGAUAUCUGCUGCAGAGAUAUCGCCGAGGUGCGGCGAAAAUUGACAGGGUGCUGCAUCACCGCGCAUCCAGAGUUCGCAUCGCUGUGUCUGUCAGCCACCGUGCUAGAAGUUGUCGGCAUAGAGUACCGGAGGUACGGACUUUUGCUGGGCUAAAAAUGGGACGAGAUACUGCGUCACAUAGCAUAUCGUCAUUUCACUUCCUGGACAUGGGGGCCUCUUCCUCCGGAGGAUAGGCGAGUGCUUCCAUCAUGCGUGGUAACGGCGAUACGAAAGGCCUUCCCUUCACGAUCUGCUGCAGCUGCAGGGGCUUUAGAUCUGCAAAAUAAAUAUGGUCACCACAGGUGGUGGUGGUGGUCAUGCACUGUCC